UGAGGAAUAUUGGUCAAUGGGCGAGAGCCUGAACCAGCCAAGUAGCGUGCAGGAUGACGGCCUUAUGGGUUGUAAACUGCUUUUAUGCGAGGAUAAAGGUACCCACGUGUGGGUGUUUGCAGGUAUCGCAUGAAUAAGGACCGGCUAAUUCCGUGCCAGCAGCCGCGGUAAUACGGAAGGUUCUGGCGUUAUCCGGAUUUAUUGGGUUUAAAGGGAGCGUAGGCUGUUUUUUAAGCGUGUUGUGAAAUGUACCGGCUCAACCGGUGAUGUGCAGCGCGAACUGGAAGACUUGAGUGUGUUGUAAGUAGGCGGAAUUCGUGGUGUAGCGGUGAAAUGCUUAGAUAUCACGAGGAACUCCGAUUGCGUAGGCAGCUUACUGUCUCACUACUGACGCUGAUGCUCGAAAGCGCGGGUAUCGAACA
rnacentral:rRNA from 1 species